UACGUAGGGACCAAGCGUUGUUCGGAUUUACUGGGCGUAAAGGGCGCGUAGGCGGCUUGACAAGUCACUUGUGAAAUCUCCGGGCUUAACUCGGAACGGCCAAGUGAAACUGUCAUGCUAGAGUGCAGAAGGGGCAAUCGGAAUUCUUGGUGUAGCGGUGAAAUGCGUAGAUAUCAGGAAGAACACCCGUGGCGAAGGCGGCUCUCUGGGACGGUACUGACGCUGAGACGCGAAAGCGUGGGGAGCGAACAGG
rnacentral:rRNA from 1 species